CAUGACCCUAGGUCAGGCAAGAUUACUCUUUGAGUUUAAACAUAUCAAUAAGUAAAGGAAAAGAAACUUACAAGGAUUCCCCUAGUAUUGAUGAGCGAAUUGGGAAAAGGCUAACUUGAUAAUCGGGCACCUUUGAUGUCCAAAUUGUAGUCUGAAGAAGCAUCCUCAAUGGUAGACUGGGCCCAAGUCCACUAGAAAGAGGUAUCGAAAAGGGUGAAAGCCCCGUUAUGCCUAGACCCUAUCACACCAUGAGGCGCUAUCUACGAGUUAAGUUGUUUAGGAAUGUAGCCCUAAUCAGGUAAUAAAUUCUAUCCAAGGCUGAAUACAAGGAAGAGACCAAUAACGAACAAGUAUCGUGAAGGAAAGAUGAAAAGGACUUUAAAAAAAUAGUCAAAAAGUGCAUGAAAUUAUCAGUAGAGAAGUAGAUAGGGGCUAGGGAUGUGCCUCAGUUGGAUGUGGAAUGGCGAGAGCUGGUCCACCAAUCGACUUGAGGCAUGGAUCGAUGUGGAUCAUGGCAAUGGCUAAAGCUCGAGCUUUUUAUAUGCCUAUAGAGACAUUGUUGCCACUAUUGUGGAAUGCAACACAUGCCAUCUAGAUGUGUGUCAGCCUAUAUGUGCUCUUGGGUCAACCUAUAGGCUCCCCAUCUGGCCCAUCUUGAAACAUGAACCAAGGAGUCUAACAUGUGUACAAGUUAAUGAGCUAGAAAACCCAUAAGGCGUAAGGAAACUAAUUGGUAAGAUCCCUCGCAAGUUCACUACCGACCAACCUUGAUCUUUUAAACUGCGGCUGAGUGAGCCCAAGGUAGUGGAAACUCUGGUGGAGGCUUGUAGCAAUACUAACAUGCAAAUCAUUCAUUUGACUUGGGUAUAGGGUGAAAAACUAAUUGAAAUAUCUAGUAGCUAGCUCCCUCUAAAGUUUCUCUUAGGAUAGCUAGAGCCCUUAGCAAGUUCUAUCAAGUAAAGCCAAUAAUUAGAGGCAUCGGAGGUGCAACACCCUUGACCUAUUCUCAAACUUUAAAUAGGUAAGAGGGUGAGGCUACUUCAUGGAACCGCUCCAUAGAAUCGUAAGCUCCAAGUGGGCCAUUUUGUUAAGUAGAACUGGCAAUGUAGGAUGAACUAGAUGCUAGGUUACGAUGCCUAACUGUAAGCUAACCUAGAACCCACAAAGGGUGUUAGUCAAUUAAGACAAUAAGACAGUGGUAAUAAAAGCCAAAAUCCACUAAAGAGUGUAUAAUAACUCACCUACCAAAUCAACUAGCCCUAAAAAUGGAUGGUGCUUAAGCACAUGACCUAUAUAUGGCUGUUAGGGCAAGGGCCAGGCCCUAAUGAAUAGCAAGGUAUGGGGGCACUGCAAAACCCAAAGCAUGAAUAGAGCGACCAUUAGUAUAGAUCUUGGUAGUAGUAGCAAAUAUUCAAAUAAGAACUUUGAAGGCUGAAGAAGGGAAAGGUUCCAUAUGAAUGGUACUUACACAUAGGUUAGUUGAUCUUAAAAGAUGGGGAAAGGUCAUCUGAUAACACGUUCAGCACAUGCUUCAAAAGGGAAUCAAGCUAAAAUUCCUAAACCAAGAUGCGGUGACUAAUGGCAACGUUAAGGAGUUUGAAGAUGUUGGUAGGGGUUUCAGGAAAAGUUAUCUUUUUUAUUUAAUGGCCUACCUACCCUAGAAAUGGCUUAACCAAAGGUAGGGUCCAACAACCAAAAGAGCACUACACAUUGCAUGGUGUCUAAUGUGCCCUUAGCAACAUUUGAAAAUCCAGAGGACCAACUACCAUCCAUGCCCAGUCAUACUUAUAACUGCAUCAGGUCUCUAAGGUGAACAACCUCUGGUCGAUGACAUAAUAUAGGUAAAGGAUAUCGAUAAAAUGGAUUUGUAACCUUGGGAAAAAGGUUGGCUCUGAAGGCUAGGCAUGGGGGUCCCAAUCUUAAACCCAUCAGUUACUAGUGCAUUACUCGAGCUGCUUUUAUAAUGAGAAUGGGUCAUCACAUGUCGGCUAGGGGAUGGACUAGGAAUGGCUCCCUUAAGGAUCUUUCCUAGAUGAUGAAUACUCGACUCAGAACUAUUAUGAACAAGGGGAAUCCAACUAUUUAAUUAAAACAAAGUAUUGCAAUGGUCCCUACGGAUGCUCACUCAAUGUGAUUUUUGCCUAGUGCUCUAAAUGUUAAAGUGAAAAAAUUCAACCCAGCGCAGGUAAAUAGCGGGAGUAACUAUAACUCUCUUAGGGUAACCAAAUGCCUCAUCAUCUAAUUAGUGACGUGCAUAAAUGGAUUAAUGAGAUUCCCACUAUCCCUAUCUACUAUCCAAUAAAACCACAACCAAGGGAAUGAGUUUGGCAGAGUCCAACUUUGUGAAAUGACUUGAGAGGUAUAGGAUAAGUGGGAGCCCUUGGGCAAAAUUGAAAUAUCACAACUUUUAACAUUAUUUUACUUAUUCCAUGAAUUAGAGGUAGGGCAUGACCCCUUCUUUUGGAACCAAAACUACCCUUGGUCGAUCAAUCCAAGCAGAAGACCUUGUUAGGUAGAGAGUUUGGCUAAGAUGGCACAUUUGUUAAAAGAUAAUGCAAGUGUCUUAAGAUGAGCUCAACAAGAAUAGAAAUCUUAUGUGGAACAAAAGGGUAAAAGCUCAUUUGAUUCUAUUUUCCAGUACAAAUAUGAAUCAUGAAAGUGUGGCCUAUCGAGCCUUUAGACCUUUAAAAUUUAAAGCUAGAGGUGUUAGAAAAGUUACCAGAGGGAUAAUUGGCUUAUGAUAACCAAGCAUUCAUAGCGACAUUGCUUUUUGAUUCUUUGAUGUUGGCUCUUCCUAUCAUUGUGAAGCAGAAUUCACCAAGUGUUAGAUUGUUCACCCACCACUAAAAAACACGAGCUAGUUUAGACUACCAUGAGACAGGUUAGUUUUACCCUACUGAUGGUAGCGUCACACCUAGUAUGAGAGGAACCGUUGAUUCGCACAAUUGGUCAUCAUGUUUGGUUGAAAAGUUAGUAGUGUGAAGCUACCAUGUAUUAGAUUAUGACUGAACACCUCAAAGUUAGAAUCCAGGCUAGAAAUAAUGCACACACCCAUUGUCCAAUUGCCAACCUUAGUAGGGGCCCAUGGCCCUCAAUGGCACAUGUCGUAGGUGUAGCCCUUACGGUGGACAAGCCACACAGGCCUCCUUAAGGCUUAUUCCCAUAGAGUGGUGGGUAAAAUCCUUUAUAGAUGGCUUAAAUAUGUGACAAUGUAUUAUAAGUGGUAGAGUGGCCUUGUUACGAUGAUCCACUAAGAUUCAGCCCUUCAUCACUUCGAUUCAU
rnacentral:rRNA from 1 species